rnacentral:rRNA from 1 species
AUGCUCCUAAACCUUAUCAAUGGAUAUGGAAAUCAUGCUCUUUACCCAAGAAAAAAAUUCUUCUUCUGGCUUCUGUUACAAGACAGAUUAAACACUAGAGACCUACUCAACAGGAAGAAUAUCUACAUUGAGACUAGUAAGUGUGAAUUAUGUGAUGAUGAACCUAAUGAACACCUAAUGCACCUCUUUUUUAGCUGUGAUUUUAGCCAAAUCUUCUGGAUGAACAUUGGUUACCAAUGGAACACUGAUCAUAACCUUAUGGAAAUGCUCUUGGAGGGAAGGAAGCAAGAUACCCAUGGCUGCUUUAAAGAAUGUUAGAUUGCUGGAUGCUGGAGUCUCUGGAAACACAGAAAUAGCAUUAUUUUUUAUCACAAGGUCAAGAAUAUGGCAUAUUGCAUUGCCACUUUCAAGGAGCACUUCAGCAUGAUUAUAAAGAAGGCAAAACCUGGAUUGAAAGAGGGCAUGCAAAGCUGGCUAGAUCAUUUGUAG